AUGCAAUAUAAAGUUUACUACAUUCAUUAUUCAGUUUUAUUAAAGUAGCCAUUUCCUUUUCUUUUUCCUUUUCCCUUCCAUCAAAGAAUACUCAUCUGGCCUUUUAAAAUCUAUUAAAAUAAUUACAGAAAACUAUGUUAUAGAGUGUCAUUACAUCUUGCCGCAGUUAAUUCAUUAGUUUUCCUUUGAUAUAUUUGGGAAUGCUAAAUACCUAGAAAAUAGUAUAAUAGUGAGAUAAAAUAUUUUAAUAGUUAUAAUAGUUAUACUGUAUUAAUUCCCUAAUGCUCAAAUUAUAUCUUAUUAUCUACCAAUGUAUUUUUUUUUUUUUUCUCUUCACCGUUCAUGUUUUUCCUUUUCCCUGAAGUGUCCUAAAAUGUUCUGUAUGCUAAUUUCAAUGAUUCAUAUAUCUGCAGGGACACAAAAGUAAAGAACACUAUUGGAGCUCUUAAUUUUGCUCAAGAAAACCAAGCAAUAAAGAGGCAAAAGCAUGAAGGAGGAAGUGAAUAUUAUAAUGUUAAUUUUUUUUUCCAACUGUAAGUAGGCUUUUUUUUUUUUUUUUUUUUUUUUUUCUUUUGUCAAAUUAAUUUACUAUACCUUUCAUAUUCAGAUUCUUACUAUGAACAGGCCUCCAAACCUACAUCACAAAUAGAAACUUGGCUCUGAUAGCAAUCCUUCUUACUUAUCCUCUACAGCUAUGAAAACUUGUGAAGAAGACAGAAAUGUAAGUUUAACAUAUACUUCAUGAAUUAUAAACUCUUUUGAAACAUAUUUGAUUUGUUAACACAUUAUUUCAAUGGCAGAAAUGAUGAAGAAAUUCCAAUCUAGCACAAGGAAGGUUUCUCUUACUUGCAUGAGCAAUUCACAGUCGCUGGUAAUUUGAGCUUUUUAUAAGAAAAGUUGUAUCAUUUCAGAUAAUACAUAUACAUAAGUUUCGCACAUAAUUUCUAAAAUAAUCAAUCAUACUUUCAGAACAAGGCUGCUGGAACAAUGUAGAGGAAGCCUAAACUUACAUUAACAAGGCCCAAGACACCUGAAUUUGAAACAUCUCAGUGAGUAGGAGCUUGAGGAAGAAAUGAUGGCUAAAAUGCCCAAAUUUGAGAAGAUCACAACCCCACCACUAAAGUUUUUUCGAAGACCAGAGAAAUGACUACAUCAAUUACAAAAAAUGCCUCUUCCAAACAUAUUGAAACAUAUUCGAAACCAAAAA
rnacentral:lncRNA from 1 species